rnacentral:rRNA from 1 species
AAUCAUGCAAGUCUAGCGAGUCCCUUCGGGGGCUAGCGGCGGACGGGUGAGUAACACGUAUGCAACCUGCCUCUCAGACUGGGAUAACAUAGGGAAACUUAUGCUAAUACCGGAUAGGUUUUUGGAUCGCAUGAUCUGAAAAGAAAAGAUGGCUUUUCUCUAUCACUGGGAAAUGGGCCUGCGGCGCAUUACCUAGUUGGUGGGGUAACGGCCUACAAGGCGCGAGCGAAUUGCGUAGUCCGAACCUGAGAGGGUGAACCGGCCAUCAUGGGACUGAGAACACGGCCCAACUCCUACGGGAGGCAGGCAGUAGGGAAUUUUCUCACAAUGACGAAGUCUGAUUGGGCACGCCGCGUGACGAUGAAGGUCUUCCGGAUGAAGUUCUGUGUGUCAAGGGACGAACACGUACGUUCGAAUAGGGCGGUACCUUGACGGUACCUGACGAGAAAGCACGGCUAACUACGGCCAGCAGCCGCGGUAAUACGUAGGUGGCAAGCGUUGUCCCGGAUUUAUUGGGCGUAAAGCGCGCGCAGGCGGCUAUGUAAGUCUGGUGUUAAAGCCCGGGGCUCAACCCCGGUUCGCAUCGGAAACUGUGUAGCUUGAUGCAAAAGGAAAGCGGUAUUCCACGUGUACGUGAAAUGCGUAGAGAUGUGAGGAACACCAGUGGCGAAGGCGGCUUUCUGGUCUGUAACUGACGCUGAGCGCGAAAGCGUGGGGAGCAAAAGGAUUAGAUACCCUGGUAGCCACGCCGUAAACGAUGAGUGCUAGGUGUUAGGGGGUUUCAAUACCCUCAGUGCCGCAGCUACGCAAUAAGACAUUCCCCUGGGAGUACUGCUCGCAAGAGUGAACUCAAAGGUUGACCGGGGUGCCCGCAACAAGCGGUGACAUGUGUUUAUUCGAGUCACGCGAAGAACCUUACCAGGUCCUGACAUCCCGCUGACCGUCGGAGACAGAACUUCCCUUCGGGGCAGCGGACGGGGGCAUGUUGUCGUCAGCUCGUUCGUGCCGGGAGAUGUUGGUAAUCCCCGACAACGACCGCAACCCGUUUAUCUUUUAGUUGCCACAUUCAGUUGGCACUCAUAAGAGGACCUGCCCGUUCAACAAGACGGAGGAGGCGGGACUGACUCAAAUCAUCUGCCCCAUUAUAGGACUGGCUACACACCCGUGCACAGAGUGUGUUGGUACAACGGUAUCAUGCUACCUACUCGUAGAGACGCAAUCUCUUAACCAAUCUCGUUGAACACCUGCAGACUCGCUCAUGAAGUCGGAAUCGCUAGUAAUCGCGGAUCAGCAUGCCGCGGUGAAUACGUUCCCGGGCCUUGUACACACCGCCCGUCACACCACGGGAGUUUGCAACACCCGAAGUCGGUGAGGUAACCGCAAGGAGCCAGCCGCCGAAGGUGGGGUAGAUGACUGGGGGAAGUCGUAAACAA